AUGGAGUUCCAGCGGAACAAAACCAUGCUACUAGCCAUGGCGACCUCCCCUCACCUAAAGCUCGUCUUGCUCGCUAUCCUGCUAGCCUCGUUUCGGCAAGCCAUGGCGGCACCACCUCCCUCCCUCCUGGAAGAACAGGCAGGAGCCCUCCUCGCCUGGAAAGCCACCAUCCAAAGCCCUCCAGCCCAGCUCCAGUCCUGGGGAAACACCACAACACGGCCAUGCGGCUGGUACGGCAUCAAGUGCGGCCAGCAUCGAGCGAGGCGCCAAGAGGUGGUGAUCACCGAGAUCUUUCUCCGGGGGUUGCGGCUGAGAGCGAGGCUGGACGCCCUCAACUUCACGGUGUUGCAUACUCUCACGAGUAUCCGGCUCCCCUUCAACCAGAUAAGGGGCCCCUUUCCACCCGCUUUAGCAUCAUCCCUGCCAAACCUGCGGCACCUACUGCUCCAGGGAAAUAAAAUCUCCGGUGAAAUACCAUGGCAAAUAAAACACCUCGAGAGUCUAGUGGGGUUGGUUUUGUCAGAAAACCACUUCUUUGGUCACAUCCCCAUUGAAGUAGGCUACCUAAAGAAGCUGAUCAGGCUAGAUUUUUCCAGCAGCAACCUCACAGGCACCAUUCCAAGGAGCCUAGGGAAUUGCACUAAACUCACUAUCUUGUACCUUGAUGGUAACCAGUUAUCCGGAUUACUUCCUCAAGAACUAGGUUACCUAGUGAGAUUACAAGAAUUAGCUCUUAGCAGCAACAAACUCAUGGGUUCCAUCCCCAAUACACUUGAGAGUUUGAUUAACCUCAUUCGGUUGUACCUAUGGGAUAACCAACUCUCCGGACAUAUUCCUCGAGAACUAGGUUCCCUUGUGAGUCUACAAAAAUUGGAACUUAGUGGAAACAAACUCAUAGGCCCCAUCCCCAAUACCUUCGGAAAUUUGACAAAGCUCACUACCUUGCACCUAUUUGAUAACCAACUCUCAGGACAUGUUCCUCGAGAACUAGGUUACAUGGUGAAUCUGGAAGAGUUGGAGCUUAGUGAAAACAAACUCAUGGGUUCCAUCCCUAAUACCUUUGGAAAUUUGACCAAUCUCAUUACCUUGUACUUAUCUUAUAACCAACUCUCCAUGCUUGUUCCUCGAGAACUAGGUUCCAUGGUAAAUAUAGAAUCGUUGGACCUUAGCGACAACAAACUCAUGGGAUCUAUCCCCAAUAGCUUUGGAAAUUUGACCAAGCUCAUUGUCUUAUACCUCGGUGGUAAUCAAUUCUCUGGACAUGUUCCACCAGAAAUUGGUAGCUUAAUGGAUCUCAUAGAUCUUCAAUUUUAUAGUAACAAUCUCUUCGGUGCCUUGCCACCUAACUUGUGUGUUGGUGGCAUGCUCGAGACAUUAGCUGCAUUUGACAACAAUCUCAAUGGACCUCUGCCAUCAAGUUUGGCAAGCUGCAGAAGCCUAGUUAGAGUUCGCCUUCAAAGGAAUCAAAUAGAAGGAGAUAUUUCUGAGAUGGGGCUUUAUCCAAAUCUGGUCUAUAUGGAUAUGAGCUCAAAUAAACUAUUUGGUCAAUUAUCUUAUCACUGGGGGGGAUGUCAUAACCUUACGAUGCUACGCAUCUCAAACAACAACCUUACGGGGGAAAUACCUGCAAGUAUGGGGAAACUAUCUCAACUAGGGCUACUUGAUCUUUCAUCAAACAAGCUUGAAGGAGAGCUUCCGAGUGCACUAGGCAAUCUAAGAAAAUUGUUCAACCUGAGCCUCACGGACAAUUUGCUCCAUGGAAGCAUUCCACGGGAAUUUGGAGAAAUGUCAAGUCUGGAGUUGCUGGAUUUGUCAUCAAAUAACCUAAGUGGUUCAAUAAAAGACUCAAUUGAGCAUUGUUUGAAGCUUCGUCUUUUGAAGUUAAAUCACAAUAAUUUCAAAGGAAACAUCCCUUCUGAACUAGGGUUAUUAGGCAACUUACAAGACCUAUUGGAUUUAAGUGAUAAUUCAUUUAGUGGGGCAAUACCAAGACAACUUAGUGGUCUUGUCGUGCUAGACACCCUGAAUCUUUCACACAAUGAACUUAAUAGCUCCAUCCCGUCAUCAUUUCAGAGUAUGAAAAGCUUGACAUCCAUUGAUGCAUCUUACAAUGAAUUGGAAGGGCCAGUCCCGGAGAGUAAGCUCUUCCAAGGAGCUUCAAUCCAAUUGUUCAUGCAUAAUAAAAUGUUGUGUGGUGUGGUGAAAGGAUUGCCCCCAUGUAGUAGUGCAACUCAUAGCAGAAGGGAAACGAAGGGAAACAAAAUACUUGUAUUAGUCAUCGUUCCUGCUAUGAUAUCUCUUGUUCUUGUCACGGUGACAUUGAUGUUCCGACAUGAAAGGAAGAAAACCAAGGAAACUAUGAUCGAUAAAGUAACACAAGAAAAAGUCUUCUCUAUUUGGAGUUUUGAUGGAGCAAAUGUGUUCAAACAAAUCGUUGAAGCAACAAACAAUUUUAGCGAAAUGCAUUGCGUAGGAACCGGGGGAUAUGGAUCUGUCUACAAAGCUAGACUCGCAUCAUGCGAAGUAUUUGCAGUGAAGAAGAUACACAUGGUAGAAGAUGAGUGUUGCGUGAACGAGCAGGUGUUCAAUCGUGAAAUCGAGGCAUUGGUGCAAAUUCGUCAUCGAAACAUUGUAAAACUUUUUGGGUAUUGUUCCUCUGGCCAAGGCAGGUUCCUUAUCUAUGAAUAUAUUGAGAGAGGAGACUUGGCAGAAACACCGAAGGACAACGAAAAGGCAAUUGAAUUGGAUUGGAGAAGACGGAUACAUAUUGGGUUGGAUGUGGUUCAUGCUUUGGCAUAUAUGCAUCAUGAUUGUUCGUCACCUAUAGUCCAUAGGGAUAUAACAAGCAACAAUAUUUUGCUUGAUCUAGAAUUUAGAGCUUGCAUCUCUGACUUCGGUAUGGCUAAAAUUCUCAAUAUUUAUGGCGAGAAUCUCACAAGGCUUGCUGGGACGAAAGGCUAUCUUGCCCCAGAGCUAGCAUAUACAGAAAACAUGACGGAGAAAUGCGAUGUAUACAACUUUGGAGUGCUUGUUUUGGAGCUAUUUAUGGGAUCUCAUCCAGGUGAUCUGCUCUCAUCCUUCUCAUUGGCCACCAAGAACAAUGUUGUGUGCCUGCAAGAUCUGCUGGACUCCAGGCUCGCGCUCCCAGAUGCUGAAACUACUAGGGAAAUAUACUGCAUUCUCAGUGUUGCAGCUCAGUGUCUGGAGUCACGUCCAUCACACAGGCCAACGGCACGACGUGCCAGUGAUGAGCUAUCUACGGUUAAAGUUCAUGAAGAUCAUGUUGAUUAUUUGCAGGCUGGCAUCACCUUUCCUAUUCUGUAG
rnacentral:rRNA from 1 species